rnacentral:rRNA from 1 species
GGUAACAUUUCAAAGCUUGCUUUUGAAGAUGACGAGCGGCGGACGGGUGAGUAAUGCCUGGGAAUUUGCCCAUUUGUGGGGGAUAACAGUUGGAAACGACUGCUAAUACCGCAUACGCCCUACGGGGGAAAGCAGGGGACCUUCGGGCCUUGCGCUGAUGGAUAAGCCCAGGUGGGAUUAGCUAGUAGGUGAGGUAAAGGCUCACCUAGGCGACAAUCCCUAGGUGGUCUGAGAGGAUGAUCAGCCACACUGGGACUGAGACACGGCCCAGACUCCUACGGGAGGCACCAGUGGGGAAUAUUGCACAAUGGGGGAAACCCUGAUGCAGCCAUGCCGCGGGUGUGAAGAAGGCCUUCGGGUUGUAAAGCACUUUCAGCGAGGAAGAAAGGUUGUCAGUUAAUACCCCACAGCUGUAACUCUACUCACAAAAGAAACAUCUGCUAACUCCUUGCCGACAGUCCCGAUUAUAUUGAGGUUGCCACCGUUCAUCGAAAUUACUGGGCGUAAACCGUGCGCAGGCGGUUUCUCCUUGAAUAAGUGGAAGUUCCUGGCUGAGCCUGGGAACCCCAUUUCGAACUGUCAAACUAUAGUCUUGUAGACGGGGGGAUAAUUACACCUGUAUCCGUGAAGUGAUCUUAUAUCUCGUGGACUACCAGCGGAUCUAAUAGCCUUUUCUACACACACUUACGU